CUCGUUCUUUCCCAAAACUCUCUCCCAUCCGCCCAAAACUAAAUCAAAACCUACUCGUGCGCCACUGCCAGUGAUUGCACUGGCACCACCAAUUCCUAUUAUGCAAGCACCGCCAACUCCGCCUACUACCACAACCAGCAGUAUCUACAGUCCACCCACAUCAUCUCCACCUCCAGUUGUGUAACCCAGUGCUUGAUCGUGUCUCGCUACAGAACCUCCACUGUGCCGGGGACCACAGCAACUCAUUGAAAGUUCCAUUAAUCAUUUGAACAAUUUCUUCACUUCUUCGUUAGGAAUUAAAACCUCGCAUAGAGACUUGGCAUUGCAUGAAAUUUUGUCAAUGAACAUGGCUUUUACAGUCCUUUUCAGUAAGCAUACACUCUACGUGGGUGCCUGCAGCAUGUCCUUUGUGUCUCGCCCUUCGAUGCCUUAAAGUUAAUCUUGAUUUCUGCAAAAUUAAACGACAGUGAGCAAUCUCCGCUCCAUGAAAUGUCGACUUUAUAAACAUAUACAGGCAUCCCAUUUAGAUCAGCAAGCCUUGGAAAUAACAUCAAGUUCUGUCAAGUUGUGUCAAAAUGCCAAUCACUUAAUUACUUUCCCAUGUAACAGUGCACAACAAGA
rnacentral:lncRNA from 1 species